rnacentral:rRNA from 1 species
CUACGGGCGGCUCCAGUGGGGAAUAUUGCACAAUGGAGGAAACUCUGAUGCAGCAACGCCGCGUGGAGGAUGACACUUUUCGGAGCGUAAACUCCUUUUAUAUAGGAAGAAGAUGACGGUACUAUAUGAAUAAGCGCCGGCUAACUCCGUGCCAGCAGCCGCGGUAAUACGGAGGGCGCAAGCGUUACUCGGAAUCACUGGGCGUAAAGAGCGUGUAGGCGGAUUAAAAAGUCAGAAGUGAAAUCCUAUAGCUUAACUAUAGAACUGCUUCUGAAACUCUUAAUCUAGAAUAUGGGAGAGGUAGAUGGAAUUUCUGGUGUAGGGGUAAAAUCCGUAGAGAUCAGAAGGAAUACCGAUUGCGAAGGCGAUCUACUAGAACAUUAUUGACGCUGAGACGCGAAAGCGUGGGGAGCAAACAGGAUUAGAUACCCGGGUAGUC